rnacentral:rRNA from 1 species
UUAGGAAUUUUGGGCAAUGGGCGAAAGCCUGACCCAGCAACGCCGCGUGGGUGAUGAAGGCCCUCGGGUCGUAAAGCCCUUUUCCCAGGGAAGAUAGUGACGGUACCUGGGGAAUCAGCCCCGGCUAACUACGUGCCAGCAGCCGCGGUAAUACGUAGGGGGCAAGCGUUGUCCGGAUUUAUUGGGCGUAAAGCGCUCGCAGGUGGUUCGUUGCGUCGUGCGUGAAAGACCCCGGCUCAACUGGGGAGGGUCGUGCGAUACGGGCGAACUGGAGGCCAGUAGGGGGAUGCGGAAUUCCGGGUGUAGUGGUGGAAUGCGUAGAGAUCCGGAGGAACACCAGCGGCGAAGGCGGCAUCCUGGACUGGUCCUGACACUCAUGAGCGAAAGCGUGGGGAGCGAUCCG